AGAGUUUGAUCAUGGCUCAGAUUGAACGCUGGCGGCAGGCCUAACACAUGCAAGUCGAACGGUAGCACAGAGAGCUUGCUCUCGGGUGACGAGUGGCGGACGGGUGAGUAAUGUCUGGGAAACUGCCUGAUGGAGGGGGAUAACUACUGGAAACGGUAGCUAAUACCGCAUAACGUCGCAAGACCAAAGAGGGGGACCUUCGGGCCUCUUGCCAUCAGAUGUGCCCAGAUGGGAUUAGCUAGUAGGUGGGGUAACGGCUCACCUAGGCGACGAUCCCUAGCUGGUCUGAGAGGAUGACCAGCCACACUGGAACUGAGACACGGUCCAGACUCCUACGGGAGGCAGCAGUGGGGAAUAUUGCACAAUGGGCGCAAGCCUGAUGCAGCCAUGCCGCGUGUAUGAAGAAGGCCUUCGGGUUGUAAAGUACUUUCAGCGGGGAGGAAGGUGUUGUGGUUAAUAACCACAGCAAUUGACGUUACCCGCAGAAGAAGCACCGGCUAACUCCGUGCCAGCAGCCGCGGUAAUACGGAGGGUGCAAGCGUUAAUCGGAAUUACUGGGCGUAAAGCGCACGCAGGCGGUCUGUCAAGUCGGAUGUGAAAUCCCCGGGCUCAACCUGGGAACUGCAUUCGAAACUGGCAGGCUAGAGUCUUGUAGAGGGGGGUAGAAUUCCAGGUGUAGCGGUGAAAUGCGUAGAGAUCUGGAGGAAUACCGGUGGCGAAGGCGGCCCCCUGGACAAAGACUGACGCUCAGGUGCGAAAGCGUGGGGAGCAAACAGGAUUAGAUACCCUGGUAGUCCACGCCGUAAACGAUGUCGACUUGGAGGUUGUGCCCUUGAGGCGUGGCUUCCGGAGCUAACGCGUUAAGUCGACCGCCUGGGGAGUACGGCCGCAAGGUUAAAACUCAAAUGAAUUGACGGGGGCCCGCACAAGCGGUGGAGCAUGUGGUUUAAUUCGAUGCAACGCGAAGAACCUUACCUACUCUUGACAUCCAGAGAACUUUCCAGAGAUGGAUUGGUGCCUUCGGGAACUCUGAGACAGGUGCUGCAUGGCUGUCGUCAGCUCGUGUUGUGAAAUGUUGGGUUAAGUCCCGCAACGAGCGCAACCCUUAUCCUUUGUUGCCAGCGGUCCGGCCGGGAACUCAAAGGAGACUGCCAGUGAUAAACUGGAGGAAGGUGGGGAUGACGUCAAGUCAUCAUGGCCCUUACGAGUAGGGCUACACACGUGCUACAAUGGCGCAUACAAAGAGAAGCGAACUCGCGAGAGCAAGCGGACCUCAUAAAGUGCGUCGUAGUCCGGAUUGGAGUCUGCAACUCGACUCCAUGAAGUCGGAAUCGCUAGUAAUCGUAGAUCAGAAUGCUACGGUGAAUACGUUCCCGGGCCUUGUACACACCGCCCGUCACACCAUGGGAGUGGGUUGCAAAAGAAGUAGGUAGCUUAACCUUCGGGAGGGCGCUUACCACUUUGUGAUUCAUGACUGGGGUGAAGUCGUAACAAGGUAACCGUAGGGGAACCUGCGGUUGGAUCACCU
rnacentral:rRNA from 1 species